rnacentral:rRNA from 1 species
UUGGUGCUUGCACCGAAAGACGAGUGGCGAACGGGUGAGUAACGCGUAUGCAAUCUGCCUUUUACUAGAGUAUAGCCCAGAGAAAUUUGGAUUAAUCCUCUAUAAUAUCAUUAAUUCGCAUGAAUAUAUGAUUAAAGCUUCGGCGGUAAAAGAUGAGCAUGCGUCCUAUUAGUUAGUAGGUGAGGUAAUGGCUCACCUAGACUACGAUAGGUAGGGGUCCUGAGAGGGAGAUCCCCCACACUGGUACUGAGACACGGACCAGACUCCUACGGGAGGCAGCAGUGAGGAAUAUUGGACAAUGGACGAAAGUCUGAUCCAGCUAUGCCGCGUGCAGGAUGACGGCCCUAUGGGUUGUAAACUGCUUUUAUACAGGAAGAAAACCUCCGACGUGUCGGAGCUUGACGGUACUGUAAGAAUAAGGAUCGGCUAACUCCGUGCCAGCAGCCGCGGUAAUACGGAGGAUCCAAGCGUUAUCCGGAAUCAUUGGGUUUAAAGGGUCCGUAGGCGGUUUUUUAGGUCAGAGGUGAAAUCCUGCAGCUCAACUGUAGAAUUGCCUUUGAUACUGAAAGACUUGAGUUAUUGUGAAGUGGUUAGAAUGUGUGGU